AGUGAACGCUGGCGGUAGGCCUAACACAUGCAAGUCGAACGGCAGCACAGUAAGAGCUUGCUCUUACGGGUGGCGAGUGGCGGACGGGUGAGGAAUACAUCGGAAUCUACUUUUUCGUAGGGGAUAACGUAGGGAAACUUACGCUAAUACCGCAUACGACCUACGGGUGAAAGCAGGGGAUCUUCGGACCUUGCGCGAUUGAAUGAGCCGAUGUCGGAUUAGCUAGUUGGCGGGGUAAAGGCCCACCAAGGCGACGAUCCGUAGCUGGUCUGAGAGGAUGAUCAGCCACACUGGAACUGAGACACGGUCCAGACUCCUACGGGAGGCAGCAGUAGGGAAUAUUGGACAAUGGGCGCAAGCCUGAUCCAGCCAUACCGCGUGGGUGAAGAAGGCCUUCGGGUUGUAAAGCCCUUUUGUUGGGAAAGAAAAGCAGCAGGUUAAUACCCCGCUGUUCUGACGGUACCCAAAGAAUAAGCACCGGCUAACUUCGUG
rnacentral:rRNA from 1 species